rnacentral:rRNA from 1 species
UACGGAGGAUGCAAGCGUUAUCCGGAAUGAUUGGGCGUAAAGCGUCCGCAGGUGGCUGUGUAAGUCUGCUGUUAAAGAGUGAGGCUCAACCUCAUAAAGGCAGUGGAAACUACAUGGCUAGAGUGCGUUCGGGGCAGAGGGAAUUCCUGGUGUAGCGGUGAAAUGCGUAGAGAUGGGGGAGAACACUCGUGGCGAAGGCGGCCAGCUAGACCAGUUCUGACACUGAGGCGCGACAGCGUGGGGAGCAAACAGG